ensembl:lncRNA
CUGGGGCUUGGCUUGGAGCCCUGUUCCCUGAAAUACCACAGAACUGGCUUCUGAGGAGAGGCGACGUGAGCUGCUGAGCUCCAGGUUGCUGCUGUUUCCCUCCCUCAGGAUGACGUGUUCCUGCAUGUGUUGGAUGGCACCUGGCUCACAUCGUGCCGUGGUGUGGCACUCUGGGACACCUAGGAAGGUUUGCUGCGUGAUGGAGUCCAUGCUGUCUCCAUCCUCCCUUCAGUCUCCAAAUGCCUGGCUUACCAAGGAGGCCUCUUGUCUCAUGUUCAUGGAAGAGAACAGGAAGGUGACUGUGGCUGUGCUGCAUGUUGGAAACACAGGCAGCGUACUUACAGAUGAGCUUAUUAUGAGAAGAAGCCGCAUACAGACAGGAUUCUGCUACCUGUGGCAGAAAAAAGGUUUGAUCUGCGCAGGACCUCUCCAGACCCCUUCACCCUCACUUGGGAGGAAAAAUCGAACAGCAAGAAGGACAUGCUCAGAGGAGUUGGAUUACAGCUUACACGUGUAUUCGAACCCAGAGUUACACAACUGCAUGAAGAGCUGUGUGCAGAAAUGCUUUCUGAUUUCUGCUUACAACAGCCUAGAGUUUGUAAGAGAUUUGGAGGGACAUAACAUUUAUUUCCUACUUCCCUGAGCUUCAGUCCAGGCCUUGGAAAAACCCAUCUGACAGAAUUACUGCAUGGCAGCGUGUCAGCCUCCAAAAUCCUCAAAAAGCCCAUGAAAAGAACUGCUGUAUUUCCUUUGGAAAAACAGGAUGGCAGCGUAAGGAAAAAAAAAAUGUGUUAGAAUGUGUUACAGCUUGACUUUAUUGGGAUAUGGAAAUGUCAGAGAGUUUCGGAUGUACUGAUGGGUGUCACCAUUCAAACUGGACAAGGAAUUUGUUUGGGGAUAGGGUUUGUUGUCCUCAACGCCUCGCGACCCGCUGUGAGGACAGGGGUGCUGCCCAGCACUGGGAACGCGUCAGUGGAAAAUCACGAGGUUUUCUUUGAGGAACAAUGGAAUUUCUCAAAGGUUAGCAGCGUGCAGUGAGGAAGGUCAAUGAGAUGACUGCUUGGACCGUCCUCAAAGCCAAGCGAGAGGUACUGGUGCCUGGCCUGGGGGUGCACAGCCAUGAGUGAGGCUUUGUGACAGCAGCAACCUGUAAAGCUCGAGCAGAGGAGGUGGCUCUCCUGAAAGCUGCUGGCAGAGCCAGGCUGCUGAAAUAGAAGGACUGCUGACCAGCCGUUCCUGCACUCUUCACCGUUUGCCAAAAUGUAAUUUAUUUUUUUUUACAGCCAGUGGCUGAAAAUAGGAAAAAAUAAAAGAGCACGGUGCGGUGCUGGCACAGCGCAGAGCAAGUUGUUUCCUGAUAUUAAAACAGUGGUCAAGCCACAGGUCGUAAGCACUGCCAUUUGCAAUUCUUUCUGCUGAAUAAAAGGAGGCCCGAUCUGAUUAUACGGCAGAUAGGUUACUUCUAAGUAGAAGCAGGCUUUUAAAGGCCACCCUGCUCUUUUUUGACACUGGAUGUUUAAUUAUAAUUGUCUCUUUGCCCUCUUUAAUGUUUUCCAGCACGGAAUGCCUUUAAUUUAAAGGAAAUAGUUGCAUCAUCUAUGGGAACAUCCCAGUAACAAGAAAGAGACCCGUGGGGAGGGUAAACUUAGGAAGAAAGCAAGUGGUGGGCAAUCAUACAGACACCUUCAUCUUCUCCAGUUCCAUCCUCUCUGCUGCCACCGGCAGACAUGAACAGAAACAGGAGAUCAGUUGUCCUGUGGCUGGACAUUGCAUUGUUUGCCAUGUGUACGCACUGAAGAGAAAACUCUCCCAUGGCGUAAACAUCUUCACGUCCCAUAACGAAAGAAAUCAGCCCACCUGUCAGUGCUCAUCUUGCUUCAAGAACCGGCUUUCUAUGUUAUGUUGUCCUGCCAUGUGGUAGGCAAAGGUGAGGAAGGGUUGCACCGCAACGCCGCUCAUUCACAGAGGAAUCCGUUCUGCAAAAAUUGGAGAGAUUCUAAAAUCUAUUUCUUAAUAUCUAUAAGCUUCAGGAGCACAACAUUAACAUUUCUCCUCCUCCUCCACUGUGGCACAGGCUGAGAGGAUGCUGAAGUACAGGUGCCUGUCACCUGCCUGAGGGCGGCACACAGCCAGUAGCCGAAGCACAGCAAUCUCAGCAGCUGUAAACCGAUCUCUUCAGCCCAAGUUCAUUUACUUGGCUCCAAUGUGUAGACUGCCUUCAUACACGUUUAGCAGUGAGAUUUGCAAAACUGAGAACUGUGCUAUAAAAUACAGCUUUCUAGCGUGGUAUCAAAACCCGAUGAUGAAUUUGACACGCUGGGAGGCAGAGGUUUGGGCCGGAGGAAAGAUGACUUAGAACUAAGGAAAGCGAAAUGCUGAAGGGAACUUGGCAUAGUAAAACUGCUGUAGGCAGGGGAAAAUUAUGACUUUACUGAAGAAGAGAAAAAAAAGUUUUACUACUGGCUUCUGACCUUAUUGGCUUCUCAAAUGUAUACAGGGAAUGGAGAAUAAUUACCAAACAAUUUGUAGUGAGAAUUGGCUGCUCCCUGUCGUGCUAGAUGCACGUGCUGCCUUUGCUGCAGCAUCCUCCGCCAGCGCUUCCCUCUCCUUGCGCUGCCGCUCACCAUGCAGAGCCCCAGCUGGCGGCUGCCAGCAGCUCUGGAAAUGCAGGGCCUUGGGCUGCAGGCUGGAAAUUCUUGUUUCCAGGAGCAGCUUAAGGCCUGUGGAAAACUCCCACUGACUUUGCUGGGAUUAUCCAUCUGCGGAAAGUUAUUUGGAGGGAAGUGCAUUCCUUUGUAGAAUGGCUGGCAACAGGUCCGGGCAGUGCUUCGGUCUCAGUUCUGGUGUAUUGUUUUUGUUGGGCUGCAUUCAUUCUGUGCCUUGCACAAUGGGGCUGUGCUCCAUCACUAGAGCUCGCACUUUCCAUUUUAGUCUAAUAAAAGUAGGAUUAAAAAAAGAAAGCCCAACUUGAAUGCAUAAAUGUUUUCAGAUAGCGGACCCCUCGGGCUCUGCCAUGUUUGUCUUUGAGCACUCUCAUAGAGUUUAGAGCACAGCUCUGCCUGAGGAGCGUAGAUUCAGAGUGACCCAUCUGUUGUCAGGGCUUCUGGGGACUCAGGUGAGGAAAAUUGCAGUGUAAAUAGGAAAUGAGACCAGGGACAAUGUUCUGCCUGUGUUUUCUGAGCGUUACUGUUCCUUACACUCUUUUCAUAUUUUUACAUUUCUCUUUAUAGUGGUUUUAUGAUCUCAUUCCUCCAUGUAAUUUCAAAAGUACUCCAAUAUCUAAUUGGAAGGUUGAGGAGAAAAGUCCCCAGGCUAGCUUGUUUAAGAAGAAUGUUAUCUGCUGUCUGCUCAACUUACCUUCUGUGAAGCUCCAAGGCAAAGAAUCCUAUGCUGCAUUUAAACUUAAGAGUUUGCUAGUAAAAAUACCCUUCUUCCUGAGGUUAUUUAAAAUGAGAGCCUGCAUUUCUCACAUCCCACUGUUGUCUGAAAUACAAAAUCCCAUCCUAUAUUGCUAUGCCAGAAAAUGUUAGCGGAUAAAGUGCCGAGCAGGUCACAGUAUUUCUAAUUCAGAUUAAUGACCCCAUUCAGCUUGUCUCCUUAGCAGGAAAUUAGAAAGUGCUGGGAAGGAGAAAAUAGUGAUUCAUAAUGCGUGACUCUUUGUAUUGGCAGUUGCACUCAUUAAACACUAAGAUACUGUUUUGAUAUAAAAUAAUUGAGUCUGACUUAUUUAUGGGAUAUGGCUGUCUCAG